AGAGCGAACGCUGGCGGCAGGCCUAACACAUGCAAGUCGAGCGCCCGUAGCAAUACGGGAGCGGCAGACGGGAUAGUAACACGUGGGAACGCGCCCUUCGGUUCGGAAUAACUCAGGGAAACUUGAGCUAAUACCGGAUACGCCCUUACGGGGAAAGAUUUAUUGCCGAAGGAACGGCCCGCGUCCGAUUAGCUAGUUGGUGAGGUAAUGGCUCACCAAGGCGACGAUCGGUAGCUGGUCUGAGAGGAUGACCAGCAUCACUGGGACUGAGACACGGCCCAGACUCCUACGGGAGGCAGCAGUGGGGAAUAUUGGACAAUGGGCGCAAGCCUGAUCCAGCCAUGCCGCGUGGAUGAUGAAGGCCUUAGGGUUGUAAAGUCCGUUUUAACGGGGAAGAUAAUGACGGUACCGUAGAAUAAGCCCCGGCUAACUUCGCGCCAGCAGCCGC
rnacentral:rRNA from 1 species